AUGGCUGUCGUCAGCUCGUGUCGUGAGAUGUUGGGUUAAGUCCCGCAACGAGCGCAACCCUUGUCCCCAGUUGCUACGCAAGAGCACUCCGGGGAGACUGCCGGUGACAAACCGGAGGAAGGUGGGGAUGACGUCAAGUCCUCAUGGCCCUUAUGGGUAGGGCUUCACACGUCAUACAAUGGUCGGAACAGAGGGUUGCGAAGCCGCGAGGUGGAGCCAAUCCCAGAAAACCGAUCGUAGUCCGGAUUGCAGUCUGCAACUCGACUGCAUGAAGCUGGAAUCGCUAGUAAU
rnacentral:rRNA from 1 species